UACGAAGGGGGCGAGCGUUGUUCGGAUUUACUGGGCGUAAAGGGCGCGCAGGCGGCCAUUCAAGUCAGGGGUGAAAGCCCAGAGCUCAACUCUGGAACUGCCCUUGAAACUGUAUGGCUUGAGUAUGAGAGAGGUGAGUGGAAUUCCCAGUGUAGAGGUGAAAUUCGUAGAUAUUGGGAAGAACACCGGUGGCGAAGGCGGCUCACUGGCUCAUUACUGACGCUCAGGCGCGACAGCGUGGGGAUCAAACAGG
rnacentral:rRNA from 1 species